rnacentral:rRNA from 1 species
UGGGUAACCUGCCUCAAAGAGGGGAAUAGCCUCCCGAAAGGGAGAUUAAUACCGCAUAAUAUGUUUAAGUCGCAUGACUUUAACAUCAAAGGAUUUUCUUUUAGAAAUUCCACUUUGAGAUGGACCCGCGGCGCAUUAGCUAGUUGGUGAGGUAACAGCUCACCAAGGCAACGAUGCGUAGCCGACCUGAGAGGGUGAUUGGCCACAUUGGAACUGAGACACGGUCAGACCU